ACUGAGACAGCUCAAUUGUUAGAGCAGCUGUUUUAUGAAUUGGAGGUCACCGGUUCGAUCCGGUUCUCAGCG
rnacentral:tRNA from 1 species